rnacentral:rRNA from 1 species
AUGCACGCUGGCGGCGUGCCUAAUACAUGCCAGUCGAGCGAACAGACGAGGAGCUUGCUCCUCUGACGUUAGCGGCGGACGGGUGAGUAACACGUGGAUAACCUACCUAUAAGACUGGGAUAACUUCGGGAAACCGGAGCUAAUACCGGAUAAUAUAUUGAACCGCAUGGUUCAAUAGUGAAAGACGGUUUUGCUGUCACUUAUAGAUGGAUCCGCGCCGCAUUAGCUAGUUGGUAAGGUAACGGCUUACCAAGGCAACGAUGCGUAGCCGACCUGAGAGGGUGAUCGGCCACACUGGAACUGAGACACGGUCCAGACUCCUACGGGAGGCAGCAGUAGGGUAUCUUCCGCAAUGGGCGAAAGCCUGACGGAGCAACGCCGCGUGAGUGAUGAAGGUCUUCGGAUCGUAAAACUCUGUUAUUAGGGAAGAACAAAUGUGUAAGUAACUAUGCACGUCUUGACGGUACCUAAUCAGAAAGCCACGGCUAACUACGUG